rnacentral:rRNA from 1 species
GACAAACGCUGGCGGCAUGCUUAACACAUGCAAGUCGAACGGAAAGGCCCUGCUUUUGUGGGGUGCUCGAGUGGCGAACGGGUGAGUAACACGUGAGUAACCUGCCCUUGACUUUGGGAUAACUUCAGGAAACUGGGGCUAAUACCGGAUAGGAGCUCCUGCUGCAUGGUGGGGGUUGGAAAGUUUCGGCGGUUGGGGAUGGACUCGCGGCUUAUCAGCUUGUUGGUGGGGUAGUGGCUUACCAAGGCUUUGACGGGUAGCCGGCCUGAGAGGGUGACCGGCCACAUUGGGACUGAGAUACGGCCCAGACUCCUACGGGAGGCAGCAGUGGGGAAUAUUGCACAAUGGGCGGAAGCCUGAUGCAGCAACGCCGCGUGCGGGAUGACGGCCUUCGGGUUGUAAACCGCUUUCGCCUGUGACGAAGCGUGAGUGACGGUAAUGGGUAAAGAAGCACCGGCUAACUACGUG